rnacentral:rRNA from 1 species
CACCGGCGGCUCGAGUGGUGGCCACUUUUAUUGGGUCUAAAGCGUCCGUAGCCGGCUUGGCAAGUCCCCUGGGAAAUCUGGCGGCUUAACCGUCAGGCGUCCAGAGGAUACUGCCAGGCUUGGGACCGGGAGAGGUGAGAGGUACCUCAGGGGUAGCGGUGAAAUGUGUUGAUCCCUGGAGGACCACCUAUGGCGAAGGCACUCGCCUGGAACGGGUCCGACGGUGAGGGACGAAAGCCAGGGGCGCGAACCGG